GCAUCAUUAAAGCUUGCUUUGAUGGAUGGCGACCGGCGCACGGGUGAGUAACACGUAUCCAACCUGCCGACAACACUGGGAUAGCCUUUCGAAAGAAAGAUUAAUACCGGAUGGCAUAGUCUUCCCGCAUGGGAUGACUAUUAAAGAAUUUCGGUUGUCGAUGGGGAUGCGUUCCAUUAGGCAGUUGGCGGGGUAACGGCCCACCAAACCAACGAUGGAUAGGGGUUCUGAGAGGAAGGUCCCCCACAUUGGAACUGAGACACGGUCCAAACUCCUACGGGAGGCAGCAGUGAGGAAUAUUGGUCAAUGGACGAGAGUCUGAACCAGCCAAGUAGCGUGAAGGAUGACUGCCCUAUGGGUUGUAAACUUCUUUUAUACGGGAAUAAAGUGAGCCACGUGUGGCUUUUUGUAUGUACCGUAUGAAUAAGGAUCGGCUAACUCCGUGCCAGCAGCCGCGGUAAUACGGAGGAUCCGAGCGUUAUCCGGAUUUAUUGGGUUUAAAGGGAGCGUAGGCGGGUUGUUAAGUCAGUUGUGAAAGUUUGCGGCUCAACCGUAAAAUUGCAGUUGAUACUGGCGACCUUGAGUGCAACAGAGGUA
rnacentral:rRNA from 1 species